AACGCGAAGAACCUUACCUGGCCUUGACAUCUACGGAAUUCUGCAGAGAUGCGGAAGUGCCUUCGGGAACCGUAAGACAGGUGCUGCAUGGCUGUCGUCAGCUCGUGUCGUGAGAUGUUGGGUUAAGUCCCGCAACGAGCGCAACCCUUGUCCUUAGUUGCCAUCAUUAAGUUGGGAACUCUAAGGAGACCGCCGGUGACAAACCGGAGGAAGGUGGGGAUGACGUCAAGUCAUCAUGGCCUUUAUGGCCAGGGCUACACACGUGCUACAAUGGCAGGUACAGAGGGAAGCCAACGCGCGAGCGGGAGCCAAUCCCAGAAAGCCUGUCGUAGUCCGGAUCGGAGUCUGCAACUCGACUCCGUGAAGUCGGAAUCGCUAGUAAUCGCAGAUCAGCAUUGCUGCGGUGAAUACGUUCCCGGGCCUUGUACACACCGUAGUAC
rnacentral:rRNA from 1 species